CGAGUCCAUCAUUCAUAACCACGUGGUAAAACUGCUGAAACAAAAUGAAGAGGAAAGUCUCGAGUGCCUCUCUAUUCUCCUCACCACCGCCGGCUAAGAGAUGGACUUUAAGAAGGCCAAGAUUUAAAUAAGAUUUAUUUGGGACCGAAUUUCGGGGGACGACGGCUGAACUGGAAGAACGGCUGCGAUGGAGAAACUAGCGCUAGAGCCACAUCCGGAGCAUCAGUAAAACUGGACGCAGUGCCAGACUCGACUACAAACAAGCCUGCGCUAUCAGAGGAGGAAAUGGAGAAACGCUCUAAAUCCAUUAUUGAGAAGUUUCUACACAUAAAUGAUUACAGAGUAAUGAUCUCAUGCAGUGACCUGGACC